UGAUGGCAGUGAUGAUUCCUAUAUUGUUUUCCUGAUGUUCAGACAUGAGGGUGCACAGUCACUCGCUCAUCUGAGCCAUCU
rnacentral:snoRNA from 12 species